GACGAACGCUGGCGGCGUGCCUAAUACAUGCAAGUAGAACGCUGAAGGAGGAGCUUGCUUCUCCGGAUGAGUUGCGAACGGGUGAGUAACGCGUAGGUAACCUGCCUGGUAGCGGGGGAUAACUAUUGGAAACGAUAGCUAAUACCGCAUAACAGUAGAUAUCGCAUGAUAUCUGCUUGAAAGGUGCAAUUGCCUCACUACCAGAUGGACCUGCGUUGUAUUAGCUAGUUGGUGAGGUAACGGCUCACCAAGGCGACGAUACAUAGCCGACCUGAGAGGGUGAUCGGCCACACUGGGACUGAGACACGGCCCAGACUCCUACGGGAGGCAGCAGUAGGGAAUCUUCGGCAAUGGACGGAAGUCUGACCGAGCAACGCCGCGUGAGUGAAGAAGGUUUUCGGAUCGUAAAGCUCUGUUGUAAGAGAAGAACGAGUGUGAGAGUGGAAAGUUCACACUGUGACGGUAGCUUACCAGAAAGGGACGGCUAACUACGUG
rnacentral:rRNA from 1 species